rnacentral:rRNA from 1 species
GACGAACCGUGCGAACGUUAUUCGGAAUCACUGGGCUUAAAGCGCGUGUAGGUGGGGCGGCACGUCGGCCGUUGAAAGCCCCCCGGCUUAACCGGGGAAGCGGCGCCGAUACGACCGCCCUCGAGGGACGUAGGGGGAGCUGGAACUUCCGGUGGAGCGGUGAAAUGCGUUGAGAUCGGAAGGAACGCCCGUGGCGAAAGCGAGCUCCUGGACGUUUUCUGACACUGAGACGCGAAAGCCAGGGAGCGAACGGG